UGAAGCGUCUCGGAAUAUGGUUCAGAGACAGGCGGGGAGCAGCUUGAGUCUUGCCUUAGCGUCGUGGCGUUAGCAGGACUGGUUUACAUUGCGGGGGGGAAGUUGUGUUAAUAGGGGCUGAGAGGUGCGGCGCGUCCCGGCUUAGCGUGAUGCGUGGCAGGAUGUCGUGGAUGCCUGGCGGCUUAGCAAAGAUUGGGAGGCCCUGCAUUGCUUGGCGGGGGUUGGGGGGAUCUGCUCGUCGCGCUAAACAACCCAUUAAGGCACCGCCGCGAUGCAUCACCUGCCGCAUCCGGUCCAGGGAGCCCACCGCCCCCACUAUCCCCCCAGCAGCGUCCAGGCGAACAAAGGAGCAUGAAUGUUUCAAGGCAAGAGGAAGGAACGGAACAGAGGUGUGACACUCCCCGCCAGCCACGCUCCUUACGCUCCUUCCUGAGUACAGAUGUCAUUGUUAAGUCGCCAGAGCCCCGCAAUCCCCCGCUCGCUGCUGAAGGACGGCCUCUCGCAGCCCCGAGCCCCGUCACCCGCUGGAAGAUCAAAAGUCAGACACGAGUGAGCGGCGCUGAGCCUCCGCCACUCACAGCCAAAUUUAAAGAAGGAUAAAGCACCACCAGUGGAGAGCUGCCGUCGCUCAACAACCGCUCCACCUCCACCUCCACCUCCGCUUCCACCACCACCACCAACCCUCCGCCAUCACCACCCAGCUCAUCAAUCCCUCCUACUUCACCACCACGGCCAGCCUUUCGCCUCCUCCAUCACCACCACAACUGCCACCACUAAUACCAGCCUUCCACCAUCGCCACCGCCACCACUACCACCACCGCCUAGCUCAUCCAGCUCCCAGCAGCACAACACGAAACAAAGGCAUCUACUUCAUGUAUUUUGAUGAGUUAAGUAAAUAUUUACGUCAAAUCUGU